rnacentral:lncRNA from 1 species
CCUGAGAAUUCUGGGUUGGAAUUCUGAGGAAGGUAACUGCCAUCUGGGAGUUGGAUUGAGACUGGAGAAUAAGACACCUCCAAAAUCCAGUUCUUUCCUCCCUUUGACCUUCAGCCUUUUCCUGAGAGAAACCAGCCAAUUCCUGAAUAUCUUUUGAUCCUAUACUCUGAUACAAAAUCUGGAGAAGCCUCAAGCAGGAUUUCUAAGUGACAAUGACCUGAACUGCUCAGUUUGCCUUGGUGGGCUUUGGCCUCACCUAGGUGGGCUAAGUCAUGUUUGGCACUUAACUCCACUAUAAUCUGUGGCUUUUACUAGAGCCUAUAGUCAAUGUGGUUUUAGCCUAGCUUAGUCAUCUUAGUCCGGGAAAUUUGAAACAGAGCGGAAGUCAGUGUAGCCUCAGCUUCACUGAGGACUGAAGCAACUUUUUGCAAAGUCAGAAGUUUCCAACCCUCCAAUGAAAGGGAGACAGAGAACACCAAAGCCUUCAAUACACCCCCUCAGAAGACUAUCCCAGAAACCACUGAGGUCAUAUGACCUGAAGCACCAGGGUGAGACCCAUUUUGGAAUGGAAAACACUCCUAAGCCAUUUUCCUCAUGAUUGACGUCUUCCAAGAUGUUUGUAUCAACUUGAAUGAAGGGAGGAUAAUGGAGGUAAACUUGACUGAGUUCAAGUGGUGAAGUUAUUUCUAUAUUUUGAAAUAAGGGCAAAGGAAUCUCAGAGGAAGUCUCUUAAUUAGGGAAUUUAGGCAUGUUUCAUGAAACAUCCUUAGUUCCCCAAGUUCAGUGCCAAGGAAGGCAGCCAUGACCUUCUCCAACCUGUCCUUUUGUGUACCAUCAGAGAUUGAACGUUGGGCUAGGUGAACCAUGGAUCUGACCCAGCACAGUAAAUUUCAUAUUGCUAUGCUAUGUAAAUAAAGUUCUUUCCCUGAAAAGCUUGCUUGUCUUA